rnacentral:sRNA from 12 species
GCCUUAUAAAUAUGUAUUAAACGCAAGACAGUUUAGCAUAUCCCUUUAAGGUGAAUUAAGAUUUUAGAAGCAUAAAUUGAACUCUUGUUGCGUAGCUGAUAAGUUGAAACAAGAUAGAUUUAUGUGGAGUAGGUUAACCGUAAGACCUUAAGUUGAAAAGCUUUAAAGUUGAUUUUAUUAGUUUUUAUAGCUAAUAAAUUACGGUUCU